rnacentral:rRNA from 1 species
AUUGCAGUCUGCAACUCGACUGCAUGAAGUCGGAAUCGCUAGUAAUCGCGGAUCAGCAUGCCGCGGUGAAUACGUUCCCGGGCCUUGUACACACCGCCCGUCACACCAUGAGAGUCGGGAACACCCGAAGUCCGUAGCCUAACCGCAAGGGGGGCGCGGCCGAAGGUGGGUUCGAUAAUUGGGGUGAAGUCGUAACAAGGUAUC